AAAAAAGGGGAGUAGGAAGAACAAAGAAGCAUCUUCUUCUUUCUUCUGAAGAAUCUCCAAAUUCCAUCUUUUUGUGUUGUUGAAAUACAUUUAUAGAUCAUAAAUUGUACAACGUAUACUUGCUCUUCCGAUCAGAAUCAUAACCUCCACAUCCCUCUUUAUGAUAACAAUCGACCCCUCAAAUCUCAAUCUUGAACUCAGAUCUCCUGUUUUACACUUCACCAACUCAUCUUUAUGCUCAAAAUCCAACAAAAGCAGUCUUUCAUAAGUGAGGAAUGAUUGAAGAUCGAGUCAGGACGCGGAUAGACGGGGGCGUGGUCACGUAGUCAAUUGAAGUUGUGAUUCUGUUGAAUGUAAUAAGAAAGAAUGAACGAUGUAACACCGAAAUAAUAUUUAUAUAAUGGUUU
rnacentral:lncRNA from 1 species